AGGACUGGGGAAGGGGUGGGGAAGAUGCAGCUGCCUUUUAUAGUCUCUUGCCAUGUGGCCUGUGCUUCCUUUGUUCCAAACACAAGCUGCCCAGCAUAUGGCUUGGGAGCCUUAGAGUUCUCUCCAUGGGCAUGUCCCUGCGUGCCUUGCUGAGUCACAAGGUAUAUCUGCCUUCUCUCAGUGGGUCAGUUGUAUAGUUGAUGGUCCUUAACGGGCCAUCAAGCAGACUAGGCAGUGCUGAUGCCAAACUUUCCAGAGGUGUCACCCAGAAGCACAGCACAAGUUUGAA